UCAGAAAUAUCUGGAUAUUUGAAUAAUUUAUUUUAAAUAAAUCUUCAAAUAACAAUGCUUAUAUUUUUAGAAUUCCUAAACUGUACGUCACAUUUAUAUGAUAUUUUGUAAGGAAAGAAUUUCAAGAAUACUUUGGUAUUUAUUUCAACAAGUUUAAUCUAAAUAAUUGAGUCAUAAUAAUUUUUGUUCUACAUGUAUUAUUAUGCUUUUUUGUCAAUUUUUUGUGACAUUUUUCUAUGAACAAUAUUUUUAAUUCUAAUAUUUUCCAUCAAAUGAAUUUAGCCUCACCUGCAGGUUGCAUUUUGUUUAAUUUCUAGUAUCAUUAUUUUAAAACUAUGUAUACACAAAUUAUCUUUCUCAUCUCAAUUAGUAAUAUGAGCUGGUGAUAGAAAUGUAAUGUGCCAUCUGGUUUCAAUUUAUCUCUGUGUAGUGGUAAAGACAGGAAGUACCAUAAAUUAAUGUACACAGAGUUUGAGGCCAAAUUAAGGGUAGAGCAUUUCUUCUUUGUAUAUAUUUCCAUUAUAACUUAUAACAUCAAAGAUAAAAAAAAAAAUAUAUAUAUAAUUAUUUUUUUAUUAUAAUAUAUAACAAAUAUUCAAGAUUUAGGCAAUUGAUAUUUAUAAUUAGGGGCAAAUUUCAAAGGGAUCACACUGUCACAAUACCCUAAGCAACCUUGAUCAACAUAUUCAAAAUUUGAACUGGACAUGAACAUGCAUACAACAAACAAAGAUGUCUUCUAUCAUGAACAAAGUAAUAUGAAUUUUACAAUGGAUUUAGAUCCAAAAGUUCCAAUUAAUUCUAUUGACACUGGAUAGUGCAUAUGAUAGCCUUCAGUUGACAUGACUCUUGGAUUUAGGAAGAUUGUUGUUUACACAUAAUUUGGAUAACAUCUUUUGUAUUUGAAAUCAGAAAAUUCAACUUUAAGGACAGUGAAUACAGAGAAACAGAACUAAAGGAUACACAGAUAUGUAACACAACAACCUAUAGAGGACAGAGAAAAUUUUGUUUUAUUAUUAAAUCAUACUUUUUUAAA